GCGUGAUCUGAUGGACCUGGCAGAGCCAAAAAAUAAGCUCAAACCAAAAGACUGAAAAUGCUGUGUGGACUGAGCUUGUUACGUACGGGUGAGUAACUUCUGUCGGAUGGGAUAAGUGUCUACGGUACAGCUGGACUAGAGGGAUCGAUAGAGAGCGUCUAGAGAACUCGGGUACAAGCGCUGAGUUGCACCAGCCUGACAGCUACAAGCGGAGUAACGCCAGUGAACCUGAACAGGCAAAUUCUGCAUAGUCAGAGGAGCAAAUUUCCUCCCAUUAAACCGUUGAUAUCCAAAGCUGACUUCUACCCAAGUGACUCAGCGGUUCCUCACAUGGCGCGUCACUGAGGUGCGCACUGCACUAACUCAUAAUGUAUUUGAGUUUAGGCAAAAAUGUACAGCAGUUACGGCAGAUAGUAUUCUGCUUGGUUUCACACGAAUUAAACAGACAAAAAGUUCUUCAAAUUCUUCCAUAGAAAGGCGACCAACCAAAAAAAUAAGAAUUGGGAAUUUGGAAAACGAUGUAAUACAGUGAGCUAUACCUUACUAUGUUUAACAAUUCGGGAUAGAAGUAAAACACCUGGACUAACAACAGAACUGUCAGGAUUAAACCGGCUUGUAGUGGACAGUUUUGGGACAUGUGCGUGAUUGUCUGAUGCAUUUGACUGCUGAGAGGUCACACAGAGGUAAUGGGAAGUUAUUGAGUCCCAGGUUCAUGGUUCACGGUGAGGUUAAAGAUACCGUUACUCGCUCUCGGCGUUAAGUCCUCUUCCUUCCUAAAAGAGGAUGUGCCUAGCCACCGCGCACUUAUGUUUGUUUUCAUAGGUUUAUGUCAUUGGCCCAAACAGGAACGCACAAUAACAUCAUGACGUCAUAGACUAAAAGUCUUUUCUUUCGUCCUUCUUUGUAAAAUCACAGAAGGCCUGUCUCCGAACUCAAGUCAAGUCCUUUGUCUUUGUCUAUUUUUAGUCUCCUAGCCCAGAAUAUGUAGCGUUUGAGAACUGACAGUUUUCAUUCAUAGGGAAAAACAACUACAGCACACAACGUCUAUAUGCAGAUUUGAACGGAUAAUAUGAUUGACAGCUCUGAUAAUCUGUAACGUACCAUUCAAAAAUGUAAUUCUGUAAAAAAAAAUUGACUUGUGUAAUAUAUAAUAUAAA